GACGAACGCUGGCGGCGUGCUUAACACAUGCAAGUCGAACGAUGAAACCGGAGCUUGCUCCGGUGGAUUAGUGGCGAACGGGUGAGUAACACGUGAGUAACCUGCCCUUUACUCUGGGAUAACUGCGGGAAACUGUAGCUAAUACCGGAUACGACCCUCGGAGGCAUCGCCAGGGGGUGGAAAGAAUUUCGGUCAAGGAUGGACUCGCGGCCUAUCAGCUAGUUGGUGAGGUAACGGCUCACCAAGGCGACGACGGGUAGCCGGCCUGAGAGGGUGACCGGCCACACUGGGACUGAGACACGGCCCAGACUCCUACGGGAGGCAGCAGUGGGGAAUAUUGUACAAUGGGCGCAAGCCUGAUGCAGCAACGCCGCGUGAGGGAUGACGGCCUUCGGGUUGUAAACCUCUUUUAGUAGGGAAGAAGCGAAAGUGACGGUACCUGCAGAAAAAGCACCGGCUAACUACGUGCCAGCCGCCGCCGUAA
rnacentral:rRNA from 1 species